rnacentral:rRNA from 1 species
CGGGAUUAGAGACCGGCGGACGGGUGCGUAACGCGUAUGCAACCUACCUUUAUCAGGGGAAUAGCCCGGGGAAACUCGGAUUAAUACCGCAUAGUAUAUUUGACGGCAUCGUUGGAUAUUGAAAGAUUUAUUGGAUAGAGCUGGGCAUGCGUAGGAUUAGCUAGUUGGUAAGGUAACGGCUUACCAAGGCAACGAUCCUUAGGGGCUCUGAGAGGAGUGACCCCCACACUGGCACUGAGAUACGGGCCAGACUCCUACGGGAGGCAGCAGUAGGGAAUAUUGGUCAAUGGGCGAGAGCCUGAACCAGCCAUGCCGCGUGCAGGAUGACUGCCCUCUGGGUUGUAAACUGCUUUUAUACGGGAAGAAAAGGCCUCUGCGGAGGACAUUGACGGUACCGUAGGAAUAAGCCACGGCUAACUACGUGCCAGCAGCCGCGGUAAUACGUAGGUGGCGAGCGUUAUCCGGAUUUAUUGGGUUUAAAGGGUGCGUAGGCGGCUUUAUAAGUCGGUGGUUAAAGGUAGCAGCUCAACUGUUUUACAUGCCAUCGAUACUGUAGAGCUUGAGUGAUUAGAAGGCGGGCGGAAUUUCUGGUGUAGCGGUGAAAUGCAUAGAUACCAGAAGGAACACCAAUUGCGAAGGCAGCUCGCUGCAAAUCAACUGACGCUGAUGCACGAAAGCGUGNGGAUCAAACAGGAUUAGAUACCCUGGUAGUCCACGCUGUAAACGAUGAUUACUAGUUGUUGGCGAUAUUACAGU